rnacentral:tRNA from 1 species
GGGCCGGUAGAUCAGUGGUAGAUCGCGUCCUUGGCAUGGACGAGGCCGCGGGUUCAAUUUCCGCCCGGUCCAC